GUUUGAUCCUGGCUCAGAUUGAACGCUGGCGGAAUGCUUUACACAUGCAAGUCGAACGGCAGCACGGGUGCUUGCACCUGGUGGCGAGUGGCGAACGGGUGAGUAAUAUAUCGGAACGUACCUUAUUGUGGGGGAUAACGCAGCGAAAGCUGUGCUAAUACCGCAUAAUCCCUUAGGGGGAAAGCGGGGGACCGUAAGGCCUCGCGCAAUUAGAGCGGCCGAUACCUGAUUAGCUAGUUGGUGAGGUAAAGGCUCACCAAGGCAACGAUCAGUAGCUGGUCUGAGAGGACGAUCAGCCACACUGGGACUGAGACACGGCCCAGACUCCUACGGGAGGCAGCAGUGGGGAAUUUUGGACAAUGGGGGCAACCCUGAUCCAGCAAUGCCGCGUGAGUGAAGAAGGCCUUCGGGUUGUAAAGCUCUUUUGUCAGGGAAGAAACAGCAGCUCUAACACAGUCUGCGAAUGACGGUACCUGAAGAAUAAGCACCGGCUAACUACGUGCCAGCAGCCGCGGUAAUACGUAGGGUGCAAGCGUUAAUCGGAAUUACUGGGCGUAAAGCGUGCGCAGGCGGUUAUGUAAGACAGGCGUGAAAUCCCCGGGCUUAACCUGGGAAUUGCGCUUGUGACUGCAUAGCUAGAGUAUGUCAGAGGGGGGUAGAAUUCCACGUGUAGCAGUGAAAUGCGUAGAGAUGUGGAGGAAUACCAAUGGCGAAAGCAGCCCCCUGGGAUAAUACUGACGCUCAUGCACGAAAGCGUGGGGAGCAAACAGGAUUAGAUACCCUGGUAGUCCACGCCCUAAACGAUGCUGACUAGUUGUUCGGGAAUUUAUUCCUGAGUAACGUAGCUAACGCGUGAAGUCAGCCGCCUGGGGAGUACGGUCGCAGAUUAAAACUCAAAGGAAUUGACGGG
rnacentral:rRNA from 1 species